rnacentral:rRNA from 1 species
GAUGAACGCUGGCGGCGUGCCUAAUACAUGCAAGUCGAGCGAACAGACGAGGAGCUUGCUCCUCUGACGUUAGCGGCGGACGGGUGAGUAACACGUGGAUAACCUACCUAUAAGACUGGGAUAACUUUGGGAAACCGGAGCUAAUACCGGAUAAUAUAUUGAACCGCAUGGUUCAAUAGUGAAAGACGGUUUUGCUGUCACUUAUAGAUGGAUCCGCGCCGCAUUAGCUAGUUGGUAAGGUAACGGCUUACCAAGGCGACGAUGCGUAGCCGACCUGAGAGGGUGAUCGGCCACACUGGAACUGAGACACGGUCCAGACUCCUACAGGAGGCAGCAGUAGGGAAUCUUCCGCAAUGGGCGAAAGCCUGACGGAGCAACGCCGCGUGAGUGAUGAAGGUCUUCGGAUCGUAAAACUCUGUUAUUAGGGAAGAACAAAUGUGUAAGUAACUAUGCACGUCUUGACGGUACCUAAUCAGAAAGCCACGGCUAACUACGUG